AGGGAUUCUGCCUCAGCCUUCCGAGUAGCUGGCAUUACAGGCAUGCGCCACCAUGCCUGGCUAAUUUUGUAUUUUUAGUAGAGAUAGGGUUUCACCAUGUUGGUCAGGCUGGUCUCGAACUCCUGACCUCAGGUGACCCACCUGCCUUGGCCUCCUGAAGUGCUGGGAUUACAGGCGAGAGCCACCGCGCCCGGCCUGUCUUCACUUUUCAAGUACAAAACUCACAGGGCUCUUCCAGUUGUUUCUCUCUGUCUUUUUUUGAUGGAACCCACAUACCCCUAAAAUUCACCAGUCUUCGUUAUUAUUUUUUAAAACUGCCUCUGUAAUUUAAAAUUAGAAGAUUGGAGUAAUUGGUGUCCUAGUGACAGUCUGUAACUAGAACUUUAAAGUAACUUCAGGCUGGGCACCGUGGCUCACGCCUGUCAUCCCAGUUUUUUGGGAGGCCAAGGCAGGAGGAUUGCUUGAGCCCAGGAGUUUAAGACCAACCUGGGCAACAUAGGGAGACCUGGUCUCUACAAAAAUGUUUUUAAAAAUUAGCUGGGUUUGGAGCGGGCGCGAUAGCUCACGCCUGUAAUCCCAGCACUUUGGGAGGCUGAGGUGGGUG
rnacentral:lncRNA from 1 species